rnacentral:rRNA from 1 species
UACGUAGGUGGCGAGCGUUGUCCGGAUUUACUGGGCGUAAAGAGCGCGCAGGCGUCGUGCAAGUCGCGUGUGAAAGCCCCCGGCUCAACUGGGGAGGGUCACGCGAUACUGCUCGACUUGAAGGCAGGAGAGGGAAGUGGAAUUCCCGGUGUAGUGGUGAAAUGCGUAGAUAUCGGGAGGAACACCAGUGGCGAAGGCGACUUCCUGGCCUGUUCUUGACGCUGAGGCGGCGAAAGCUAGGGUAGCAAACGGG